UAAGGGAGGGGGGAGUGUGCGCUGUGCAGUUAACUACAGAGAGAGAGAAAACGAGAGAGAGAGAGAGAGAGAGAGAGAGAGAGAGAGAGAGGGAGAGAGUGAGUGAGUGAGAGAGAGAGAGUGCAGCCCGCCGGCCCCAUUGAGGAAAGAUGGCUACAGUCACUGCGAACGGAGUGCAGCAAGAGAAUGGAUUCAGCACCACGAACAGCGCCGGCAGGAUGAACGGGCUCACCAUCGGCCAAAGCACCAUUCCAAUGAAGGACCACGACGCCAUCAAGCUUUUCAUCGGGCAGAUUCCCAGAAACCUGGAGGAAAAGGACCUGAAACCGCUGUUUGAGGAAUUCGGAAAGAUAUACGAACUCACUGUACUGAAAGACAGGUUCACGGGAAUGCAUAAAGGAUGUGCCUUUCUAACAUACUGUGCCAGAGAGUCAGCACUGAAGGCCCAGAGCGCCCUCCACGAACAGAAGACUCUGCCAGGGAUGAACCGGCCCAUCCAGGUGAAGCCGGCUGACAGCGAAGGACGAGGAGAAGACAGGAAGCUGUUUGUGGGAAUGCUCGGCAAGCAGCAGAGCGAGGACGACGUCCGGCGGCUGUUCGAGACCUUCGGUCAGAUCGAGGAGUGCACCGUCCUGCGAGGGCCUGAUGGGGCCAGUAAGGGCUGUGCCUUUGUCAAGUUCUCCAGCCACGCAGAAGCACAGGCUGCCAUCAACACCUUGCACGGUGGACAGACUAUGCCUGGUGCCUCAUCCAGUCUGGUGGUCAAGUUUGCAGACACGGAUAAGGAGAGGACCCUGCGUAGGAUGCACCAAAUGGCGGGCCAGCUCGGCAUCUUCAGUCCCAUGACCAUCCAGUUUGGGGCGUAUGGCGCCUACUCUCAUGCUGUAAGUCUCAGCCCGGCGGGGGAGGAGACGCAGAUGAUGCAACAGCAAGCAGCCCUGAUGGCAGCGACACAAGGGUCCUACCUGAACCCCAUGGCAGCCAUUGCUGCCGCGCAAAUGCAGCAAAUGGCAGCUUUCAAUGUCAACGGCCUGGUGGCUACUCCCAUGACACCGUCCUCAGGCACCAGCACACCCCCAGGCAUCUCUGCUACAGCUGUGCCCAGCAUAGCCACCCCAAUAGGGGUCAAUGGAUUCAGUGCACUUCCACCUCAAAGCAACGGGCAGCCCACCUCAGAGCCCAUCUACACCAAUGGUAUUCAUCCAUACCCAGCACAGAGUCCAACAGUGACUGACCCUCUCCAACAGGCUUAUGCUGGUGUCCAGCACUAUGCAGCAGCCUACCCCGCCGCCUAUGCGCCAAUCAGCCAAGCGUUCCCCCAGCAACCAACCAUCAUUCCCCAGCAACAGAGGGAAGGGCCAGAAGGUUGCAACCUGUUUAUUUAUCACCUGCCCCAGGAGUUCGGAGAUGCGGAGCUCAUGCAAAUGUUCCUGCCUUUCGGCAACGUCAUCUCGGCCAAAGUCUUCGUGGACCGAGCCACCAAUCAGAGCAAAUGUUUUGGCUUUGUGAGUUUUGAUAAUCCAUCCAGUGCUCAAGCCGCUAUCCAGGCCAUGAACGGGUUUCAGAUAGGCAUGAAGAGGCUGAAGGUGCAGCUAAAGCGGCCAAAGGACGCCAACCGACCUUAUUGACUCGUCUACUGUCAGUAUCCAGUGUGAGGUGGUCUUUCUCCGCUAUAGCCACACCCUGUACACCUGUCACGGGGCCGAGUUCUUACAGCUGAUGAAGGGCCACAUCACCUUAUUUCCACAAGUGCAGUAAAAGUACAAAGACUUCUUGCUCUGCUACAUAUCAUGAAGGAAGGGUGGUCCCUUGAUCAUGCUGGAAACCCGUUGAAAGAUUGGGUGACUAAGAGAAGAAUCCCAGAGUUGAUUUUUUUUUUUCCUCUUUUUUUUGAAUGUUUCAUUUUUUUUUCUUUGCAAAUGCCUCCUUUUUUUCCCUGUUUUGCUUUGGCGUCUGGGGAAGAAGAUUUUUUGCAGAGACCAACUUUUUGCUGCUGUUUUUUAGACAUGAUGGGGGAAAAAAAAACAACCUUUAUAGACUCAUUAUGCUCAAAGCAUGCAUACUGACACAGGAUAUAGAUAAACACACAUUAAUGCAGAUAACAAACCAAACAUACACACUUAAAUAUGCUACACCCAAAAGAAAAAGGAAAAAAAAACAAAAAAAACUACUACUUUGUACAUGUAUAAAUACGUGCAAAUGCCAACUCAAGUACUGAAGCAAACACAUGCGUGUACGCAAACACAGACACACUCACACUUACACACAAACACCCACACCAGCCUGCUGCCAUUUUGGUUUUUGUGCCUACACAGGUGUUGUGCUCUGUGACAGGGCAAGCUCUGGAUCGAAGAAGAAGAAAAAGAAGAAGAAGAAGAAGAAGAAGAAGAAGAAGACAAGAGGAAGAGGAGAGAAGAGGAGAAUCCAGGAUAAUUUACAUGCAUCAUUCCUUAGGAAAUAGGGACCAAAGGACUAAACGCUUUUUAAAAGAAUAUAAAUAUAUAAAUAUAUAAAUAUAUAUUUAAAAACUCAUACCUUGUAGCUGCAAGUAUUACAAUUUACUCGUAGUAAAAAAAAACUAAAAAAAAAAAAAAUCAUUAAAUCAAUAUCCAGUGGCCUACUGUAAGUACGAAUAAAAGAAAAUGGAAAUAAUGUACAAAAAAGACAUGGAAUCGUAGUAUAGGGGCUGAUCUUUUGCUCUGGAUGCUGAUUUAGCGCCAGGUUGUAGAAUAGUAAAAUAGACUAGAGGAAAAAAAAAAAA